UACGAAGGGGGCUAGCGUUGCUCGGAAUGACUGGGCGUAAAGGGCGCGUAGGCGGUUCGUACAGUCAGACGUGAAAUCCCUCGGCUUAACCGGGGAACUGCGUCUGAUACUGGAUGGCUUGAGUUCGGGAGAGGGAUGCGGAAUUCCAGGUGUAGCGGUGAAAUGCGUAGAUAUCUGGAGGAACACCGGUGGCGAAGGCGGCAUCCUGGACCGACACUGACGCUGAGGAGCGAAAGCCAGGGGAGCAAACGGG
rnacentral:rRNA from 1 species